AGCUAGUGCCAACUCUGUUUCCAAAUGUGACCUCAAAGAGGUUUCAGAGAAAGAAUGUAUUGUUGGCUAUCUGAAAUGCACAGAAUGGGAACGAUUGCUCCUCUAUAAUAAGAAAAGCGCAUGCAGUGGUCCAGUAUAUGGUCUGAGAAAUGGGAAAACACAGCAAGUCAGCAGCAGUGGAUGGGGCAGAGAGGAAGGACAAAUUCUGUGCGAGUAUCUAAAAUGUGGAAAUUACAUAUCACACUCCAAUAUAACCAAAAACACAGAUGAGUGGUGGAAGAAGACCUAUGAUUGCUCAGGGAAGAAGAAUAUUUGGGAAUGCGAGACCAAUGAUCAGUCCAACCAGACUCAGCAGUUAAACAUCCAAUGUGACAGUAAACCUCGAAAAAUUUUGCUCUCAGACAACUGCACAGGUUAUGUGUUCAUAAAUAAAGAACAUGUUUGUGCAUCCUGGUGGGAUGAUGGGAUGUCCAACAAGUUAUGUGACAGCCUCAAUUGUGGUAAGGCACUCCACAGCUGGGUCACAGAGUCUGUUAUUAAAACAAAUACCUGGCAUUUCAGCUGCACUGGCAAGGAGACACUGAUGUGGCAGUGUGGCUCUAGAAGUGACAGCUGUAAGAAAAUCCUCUCUGUGGCCUGCAAAGGUAGUGUUGAAUUCAGCUCUACUGAGAAGUGUGGCGGGAAGCUUGGGAUCAGGUAUAAAGGGCAAUGGGAAUAUGUCUGUGGAGAACUGGCUGAAGCUGAUACCAAGAAGGUUUGUGAUGUGCUUAAUUGCAACAAUCAAGAACUGCUGGAUGAAGAGAAAAUUGCAAAGGAAAUAAAGGUGAAAAUUGAAUGCCCAAAAAACCAUUACAACAUUUUUCAGUGCAUGCACCAUCUCGGAAACAAUACAUGCAGUAAUCGACCUGCUGAAAUCAAAUGUGAAGGUUAUACUCCAAAAGGAGGUAAUUCUUCAGUGGGUCUGAUAUUGGGUCUGUUAGGAGUUGUGCUGGGGUUGCUGAUUUUGUUUUUAAUGUGGAGAAAUCGGAAACGCCUACUUUUAACCUUAACUCAUUACAGAAAUAAAAAUGGCAAAGACGUCAACCCUGAUGUGAAUGAAAUGGAUCAGAUGGAUACAGAGGACAGAGGUAUACUGUUUAAUUUAAUUAUUAUUACUUUGAACAUUGUGAAUACUGAGACAUAAGCUAAUGCUUUCCUUAAUUGCAAAAUGUUAUUAUUAUUAUUUAUUUAUUUAUUUUACUUUUGUAUCUAAUAAGACAAAAGACAAAAUCAUUCAAACACACAGAUAGAUAGAUAGAUAGAUAGAUAGAUAGAUAGAUAGAUAGAUAGAUAGAUAGAUAGAUAGAUAGAUAGAUAGAUAG
rnacentral:lncRNA from 12 species